rnacentral:misc_RNA from 1 species
GCGGAGGAAAAGAAACCAACAGGGAUUGCCCUAGUAACGGCGAGUGAAGCGGCAACAGCUCAAAUUUGAAAUCUGGCUCUUUUAGAGUCCGAGUUGUAAUUUGCAGAGGGCGCUUUGGCUUUGGCAGCGGUCCAAGUUCCUUGGAACAGGACGUCACAGAGGGUGAGAAUCCCGUACGUGGUCGCUGGCUAUUGCCGUGUAAAGCCCCUUCGACGAGUCGAGUUGUUUGGGAAUGCAGCUCUAAAUGGGAGGUACAUUUCUUCUAAAGCUAAAUAUUGGCCAGAGACCGAUAGCGCACAAGUAGAGUGAUCGAAAGAUGAAAAGCACUUUGGAAAGAGAGUCAAACAGCACGUGAAAUUGUU